GCAACAACAUUAACUGUUCUGCCACCCUCAGCCUUAAUGAACUGUUUCCUUCUCCCCAUUAGGUCUCUUCAAUAUCUUUAUGCUUUAAAUUCCUAAUCAUCUCUUCAAAUGCCACGACGACGGCAUGCCAGACUUCCAUUCUUGACCAAGCUCCCACCAAUUUCAGCCACCUACUAUGCUUCAAGGAAGAGGAGCACCAACUGAAGGAAGUCAGGCAGACAAAAAUAUACCUUUAAAGCCAGCUAAAUGCAUAAACCGUGCAAGUUCAAGUAAGUCUAAAAAGAUUGGUGUUGUAUCAUGGAUAAUAAAGGAUGUGAACUGAACAGCAAAGCAACUUUGAAAGAAGAAAUUCGAGCACUCCUGUAACGCUAUUACAGCGCCAGCAACCCGGGUUCAAUACCAGCCGCUGUCUGUAAGGAGUUUGUACGUUCUCCCCGUGUCUGCGUGGGUUUCCUCUGGGUGCUCUGGUUUCCUCCCACAUUCCAAAGACAUACGGGUUAGGAAGUUGCGGGCAUGCUAUGUUGGCGCCAGAAGCGUGGCGACACUUGCGGGCUGCCCCCAGAACACUACGCAAAAGAUGCAUUUCACUGUCUGUUUCGAUGUACAUGUGACUAAUAAAGAAAUCUUAAAUAAAAUUAGAUAAUUAGA